rnacentral:rRNA from 1 species
UGACCUCAAAUCAGGUAAGAGUACCCGCUGAACUUAAGCAUAUCAAUAAGCGGAGGAAAAGAAAAUAACAAUGAUUCCCUUAGUAACGGCGAGUGAAGAGGGAUAAGCUCAAAUUUUAAAUCUGCUAGGUCUUACCUAUCAGAGUUGUAAUUUGAAGAAGCGUUUUCCGCGUCUCGGUUGACCCAAAUCCUUUGGGAUAUGGUAUCAUGGAGGGUGAGAAUCCCGUUCGGUUGACCUUGUGACGCUUUACGAUACGUCUUCUAAGAGUCGAGUUGUUUGGGAUUGCAGCUCAAAAUGGGAGGUAAAUUUCUCCUAAGGCUAAAUAUUGGCGAGAGACCGAUAGCGAACAAGUACCGUGAGGGAAAGAUGAAAAGAACUUUGAAAAGAGAGUAAAAUAGUACGUGAAAUUGUUGAAAGGGAAACGAUUGAAGUCAGUCGUACCGACGGAAAAUCAGCUCUUUGAGUGCGGACUUGUGGGCUUACGUGAGUUUUAACACCUCGCUGUUUGCAACGUUCGUGUUUUUUGGGUGUACUUUUUCGUAUGGUAGGCCAAUGUCAGUUUCGAUCGCUAUAAAAUGACCGGCGGAAUGUAGCUUCGAUCUCGUAUUGAAGUGUUAUAGCCUCUGGUAGAUGUGGUGAUUGGGACUGAGGAUUGCAACGAAUACCUUUUGGGCUAUCCGUCUGAUCUCUGAAGGUUGCUUAGGUGCCGAAAGCGUGCUUACGGUUAUUUAAGUUGACAGUCAAAAGGUUAGAACGUGAUUAUAUUCGUUAAGGAUGUUGGCGUAAUGGCUUUAAACGACCCGUCUUGAAACACGGACCAAGGAG